rnacentral:tRNA from 1 species
GCGGCUAUAGCUCAGUGGCAGAGCGCAAGGUUGUGGCCCUUGGUGUCACCAGUUCAAUCCUGGUUAGUCGCCCCA